rnacentral:lncRNA from 1 species
GUAGAUUUAGAGUUUGAGCUGUUCAUCCAAUUUAAGGGAAAAGGGUGUACAUGUUUCAUUUUUUUUAUUCUUUCAUUAUAAUUGAAUUCCUAGUUGUUUUAGACAUGAACAUGUGUAGCUAGAUCGAUUAAACCUAUUUUGAUUUCCUUACUAUGUUGGCUUAGUACUAAAUUGUUGGAUUGCUUUAGUUCCUUUUUGUAUUCUUCUUGCUUUCAAUAUUAA